UUUGUACUCCCUCCGUCCGGAAAUACUUGUCACAGAAAUGGAUAUAAAUGGAUGUAUCUAGAAUUAAAAUACAUCUAGAUACAUCCAUUGCUUGGACAAGUAUUUCCGGACGGAGGGAGUAUCCA
rfam:Triticum aestivum genome assembly, contig: Triticum_aestivum_CS42_TGACv1_scaffold_160102_2DL